rnacentral:rRNA from 1 species
AUUGAACGCUGGCGGCAGGCCUAACACAUGCAAGUCGAACGAGUGGCGGACGGGUGAGUAAUGUCUGGGAAACUGCCUGAUGGAGGGGGAUAACUACUGGAAACGGUAGCUAAUACCGCAUACCAUCGGAUGUGCCCAGAUGGGAUUAGCUAGUAGGUGGGGUAACGGCUCACCUAGGCGACGCUCCCUAGCUGGUCUGAGAGGAUGACCAGCAACACUGGAACUGAGACACGGUCCAGACUCCUACGGGAGGCAGCAGUGGGGAAUAUUGCACAAUGGGCGCAAGCCUGAUGCAGCCAGGCCGCGUGUAUGAAGAAGGCCGUCGGGUUGUAAAGUACUUUCAGCGGGGAGGCGUUACGCGCAGAAGAAGCACCGGCUAACUCCGUGCCAGCAGCCGCGGUAAUUC